GCAUAUCAAUAAGCGGAGGAAAAGAAACCAACAGGGAUUGCCCCAGUAACGGCGAGUGAAGCGGCAACAGCUCAAAUUUGAAAUCUGGUCCCCAGGGCCCGAGUUGUAAUUUGCAGAGGAUGCUUUUGGUGAGGUGCCUUCCGAGUUCCCUGGAACGGGACGCCAUAGAGGGUGAGAGCCCCGUCUGGUUGGAUACCGAGCCUCUGUAAAGCUCCUUCGACGAGUCGAGUAGUUUGGGAAUGCUGCUCUAAAUGGGAGGUAUAUGUCUUCUAAAGCUAAAUAUUGGCCAGAGACCGAUAGCGCACAAGUAGAGUGAUCGAAAGAUGAAAAGCACUUUGAAAAGAGGGUUAAAUAGUACGUGAAAUUGUUGAAAGGGAAGCACUUAUGACCAGACUUGGCCCCGGUGAAUCAUCCAGCGGUUCCCGCUGGUGCACUUUGCCGGGGUUCAGGCCAGCAUCAGUUCGCUCCGGGGGAUAAAGGCUUUGGGAAUGUGGCUCCCUCGGGAGUGUUAUAGCCCAUUGCGUAAUACCCUGUGGCGGGCUGAGGUUCGCGCUUUAUGCAAGGAUGCUGGCAUAAUGGUCAUCAGUGACCCGUCUUGAAACACGGACCAAGGAGUCGUCUUCGUAUGCGAGUGUUCGGGUGUUAAACCCCUACGCGUAAUGAAAGUGAACGCAGGUGAGAGCCCUCCAGGGCGCAUCAUCGACCGAUCCUGAUGUUCUCGGAUGGAUUUGAGUAAGAGCAUACGGGGCCGGACCCGAAAGAAGGUGAACUAUGCCUGUAUAGGGUGAAGCCAGAGGAAACUCUGGUGGAGGCUCGCAGCGGUUCUGACGUGCAAAUCGAUCGUCAAAUAUGGGCAUGGGGGCGAAAGACUAAUCGAACCUUCUAGUAGCUGGUUUCCGCCGAGUCCCC
rnacentral:rRNA from 1 species